rnacentral:rRNA from 1 species
CGACCUUGCCUCGUGGUGGGGGAUAGCCGGCCCAACGGCCGGGUAAUACCGCAUAGGGUGGUUCUUUCGCAUGGGAGAACUAGCAAAGCUGUGCAGCAAUGCAUGGCGCCACAGGGGGGGCUCGCGGCCUAUCAGCUAGUUGGGGGGGUAAUGGCCCACCAAGGCGACGACGGGUAGCUGGUCUGAGAGGAUGGCCAGCCACAUUGGGACUGAGACACGGCCCAG